AUGGCCUCGAGGCCUUCGUCGCCGGCGCCGUGGGGCACCCGCUGGGGCACGGGGCACGGCGGUGGUGGCGGCCGAGCGCGGGGGAGCUCCCCAUCCCAUUCACUGUCUUCCGCUUCGCCUAGCUCGCCCUCCGCUGCUCUGCCCGCGGCCGCGCUCGCCCGCCACCCCUCCGCCGCCGCGCUCGCCCUCCGCUGCUUUGCCCACUGUUGUGCUUGCCCCGCCGCCGCUCCUCUGCCGCGCUCGCAUAUUGAACUCGAGAACUUGGAGGUCGUCACAGCGGACGACGGCGGCGGUGGCGGUGGCAACAACGUGCAUGGCGACAAGUCUCCCGUUGACGGCAAAGGAGAGGCAGCGACUCCGGCGAAACGCGCCGACGUAUCAGGUGGCCAAGAAUGCGGCGUGGUCCGCGUGGAGGAUGUACAGCGGGUGGAGACGCCAGCUGCAGAGAUCACGAAUGCCAUGAAAGACACGGAGAUCGUGAAGAAUAAGGACCAGGAGAGAGGAGGCAGCGAGAGGGAAGAAGAGGAGACCGUUGCCAUGGCCGGCACGGGGAGCAGGGAGGAAGCAUUGCUGGUUCUCUUCGAUACAGCAUGGCAACAGGGGAACCUCCUUAUCGGCGGGAGCGGCGGGACGGCUGGUGUGCUUGCACUAACUCGUGGCCAUGGCGGGUCAGGGAGGCAGGCGACGCCGCCGGUCGCUGGGCUGUGGCGGCGGAUGGAGUCACGUUGUCGGUAACCGUCGGCGG
rnacentral:lncRNA from 1 species